GGUAAGAAGUUGUGUUUUUCCUAUUGCAGGCAUGCAAGCCUGGUGGAGACUGAGCACGGACAGUGCUAAGAAACAAGACAGGGCACAGGGUGCUGAUGCUGUUGGCAAACACGUACAAAACUGACUCUGCUCUGAUGUCUGUGUGAUGGUGAAGAGUCGAAAUGUUGCACUUCAGUGAUUCUCCAGACCAUGCCUGUAUUGGGGAAUAAAUUCAGCACUGUUCUGGUGGAAGGAGAAACGAGCAACAGACAGAGGAACUCUCCUGCUGACAGCAGGCAGCUGGCACGAAGAGAACAGAAAAUCCAACUCUCCCCUCCCACACUGCCAUGAAAAGAAUAGAGGGCGAUGCAGCCGCUGGAACGGCGCUCUGAAGUACUGCAGCAACGUGGAGGUACAGUGAGGAAGAAAACACCAAAAAUGUCACAAGUAGAAUUUGUGUGAAUCCUGGCCACCCUGGAUGAGCUCUAUGGGUGUGACAUCGUGUCAGAGAUCCCUGCUGCCAGAGCUCCUGACGGUCACUGCAGCCAACUGGCACAGCAUCAGGCAUCAGUGUUAGAGAUGGGAAUAUGCCAUCAGCUCCACUACCUUGCUCCACAGAGGGACGCAGUGAAGGAAACCAACCAGUCUGGAGGGACAGAGAAGAUGGAAACUACCAAACAACUGAAAUAUCAUCGUUGUUCUGUAGAACUCGUCAUUUUCCUUGGAUUUUGGAGGGAGAAGGAAAAGGAACGUCAGCUGUGAAUUAUCGUACAUGCAUGUGACACGUGAAAAUCAAACAUACUACAGCCCAGCGUUAUGAAGCCCUGUUGAGUAUUUGCUGUGUUACUGUUGUUGCCACAGCUGCUUUUCCCAUGGGAACAUUAAGAGCGGAGACCGGCUAUAGCACUCCCUGAACGACAAAAAUGAAGAUAAUGGCCUUGAAAAUGGGAUUUCAGUGUAAUGAGCUGCAGUAAGAGUGAUACAAGAGAGACUUGAGUGCUUGCUGGUGGUCCAGGAGCACUGCUGAGCAGUGGCACCAUGCGCUGAGCCAGCAGUGCAAGCAGUGUCUCUGCAGGAGGAUGACUGGAGAAGAGCUGGGUCAGAAAUCAGCUUAGGUGCUGUAAAACCAUGGAAUGGUGUUGCUGCAAAACUGGAGACCUCAGCCUUCACUCAUCCCUGGGUGGAGCAAGAUGUGCGCAUGGAGAGCCCAGCUGUGGGGCUGCACAGCCCUGCCCUGUGCUGGGAAAAUGAUUCUGCGGAGCCAUGAGCAAGGGAUGCUUCAGGUGUGCAAAGGAGACGUGAGGAAGGGUAUGUGCAAAUGCCCAAGCUGUGCCCAACCCUGAGGGAUGUCCCCUUCCCUCCCAGCUGCUGGUAGUGUUGCACUCACCUAGCUCCCUUGCCCGAGUGUGUCCAGGGCUGAAUUCCACUCAUGUAGCUCUCUGGGCAGAAGUGCUCCCUGUUUGGCUGUUAUGCACAGCCCAGCAAAUCUGGCCUCUGAGUAAUUAACGGAGUUUUUGACAAGCUGUGCCAACAGGAAGGCUUUUUAGAUUGGAUGCAAGCACCUUAAGGUCAAAUUCACUUUUGUCCCUGCAACCUUAACGCUUCUCCAUACAUUUCCAUCCUGUGCAUUGAAUGGAAAAGAUAUCAUGUGAGCAUGUAAUUACAGACUGUAUUAUAGUGCAAUAAUUCCUCCACGAGACAGCUAAAGACUAACUGAGAGCUAAUCUAUCCAAAACCAAUAUCAUAGUUCCAGCACAGGCUGGACUCGGGCCAGAUGGGAGCCGGGAACAGCUUUUGUGACAUUGAUGAAUGCGGUGUAGCUGCCGAUGGAUGGAGAGCAGCCAUCUCCUUGUAUCCUUCCAGACCACUCCAGCGUUCAGUCCUGUGCCACUCUCCCGCCUGAAGGUAAGGACAACUUGUUCAAGAAGGUACUAACACCUUUUGAGCUUCCCACAGCUGCCUUUUCACCAGGCUGAACACCUCCAGCUCCACCAGCCUGUAUCCAUAGGAGAGGUGCUGCAGCCCUCUGAGCAUCCUCAUGGCCACCACUGAGGCCACCCCAGCAGCUCACUGUCACCCUCCGGCUGUCACCUCCCAACCAACUCCAUACCCACUCUUCAAGCCUGUAUCUCUCCCACUUAGAGGAAGAUGAGUCCAGGACAUACAACACCUGCAGGGUACUUUGUACAAUGCCACAGAUCAUGCCAUACCUGUACCUGAUGCACAUGCGUCGCUUUGGGACAAAGUCAGUGGGAAAAGGCCUUUGGUAAUGAACAAACUAAAGUUAAGACCAGCACUUUCAGUUCCAUCUGAAUAUUCAAGAGUAAGGAGUGCAGAGCUGGAGCACAGGCAUUGCAGCACACCCAGCCCAUUUGGACUCAUGGUAGCACCCAAGCUAUGUGGGAAAGGCAUGCAACACCUCGUUAUCAGCCUGCCAGGGCUGGACAGGACAUCUGCAGAGCCACAGUGCCAUAUAACACAUGGAUCCACUCACCAAAUGAGGCAGUCAUUGUUGGCAUCCCAAUGUAGAGGAGUGUAAUGGCUCAGUGAAGACAUGUUUAUGAACUCUAAUGCAACUUUUGUGUUACAUUUUAUGUAAUUGAAAAAUUAUCAACCUGACAUUAAAACAAGCCUUGCUUUAAGGGAGUGUAAUUUUUGCUAAUGGAUUGCUACAUUUCAUUUCCAUAUCCUUUUUCCAGCAAUUUUAUGUUUAAAUAUCACUGCCCCUUUGAAUUAUGUAAGGCUUUUUUCACUGUGAUGUUCCAGCAGUUUGCCAGCCUCAUGUGUGUAAUUAGUUUGAUUAGCACUACAGCUUUAAUGGGAGCAUUGGUGCUCGCUAUACACACUCUGUUCUUCACUGGACAAAGUCAAAAGUUGUGUCUCUCAAUCAGCUACAGCUGAAGAGCUGAGUCCUUCCCAGGCUCUAUGUCCUCGUGUUUUGCCCUUUCAGGGAGCAUCACUUUCUUAAUUAUGGCUGUAAUCCCUGCCUGUGUCCUCUUUCCACUCCAAACACGGGAAUGCACACUGGGCAUGCUCACUGAACUGGUUUGCGCAGCUGUCAAAGUACAUUCCCUUGGCCUUCCCAAUAAUCACUAAUUAUUAAUAGCACACAAAUUAAAUAGUAUUCUUAUUGUCUUGGGCCAUGCCUGCAUAAUGGAUGGGAAGAAACAGAAACGAUGCAUCUUCUUAACACAGAACAUUUCACCAAGCCCAGCAAAAGCUUGACAUUGAAAACAACUCCUGGGGAACUGUCAAGAUGACAAUGGGAAAAGCAUUAACGAUUCAUCCAUGUGCCAUUAGCCCUGCAUGUUAGACCUGACGUGAAGUCAAUAGAUCAUUUUUAUGUUCUACAAUAGAAAAACAUUGAGUGGGAAUGGAAGCGUAUGACCUCUAGGCUACAUUAAACCACUAUUAAGAAAAAGAUCAUUAUCUGAAAAGUGCAAAACCAUAUUAAUUCGGUCCGCUUGUCUGUCAGACUCUGAGCAGUUCCAAUCUGUUUCCCCUGGUGUCACCUGGCAAUCGAUGCGUUAACGCUCAGCAGAAGCUCAACAGCUCAAACGCAGCAUUACGAGAGCACAUUCACCAGUAUGAUCAUCAUCAUUUGUUAAGAAAAUGGUGCUUGUUUUAUAUCUCAACCGUGUCUUUCAAAGGUGGUUGUGGCCAACCAGCAGUUCAGGUCUCUCUUUACAAAAGAGAAACAAUAUGUUACUUGAUGUCCUCUGUGUGUUUCAAGAGAAACAGCUUUCAGCCAAGCACAAAAGAAUCAACUAUUUUCUACAGAAAACCACAGUACUUUUCAAAGGAAACUUUCAGAAAGAGAGCUCAGUUCAGAGAAGCCAGAUUUGGUUCAUCAUGUCAGUGCCAUGAGGACAUCCAUCUCCUGUUGGGAUGGCACAUGCCAACCUGGCCCAGGCUGAGGUCAGCAGCUCCAAAAGCAAAAGUCCAUGAUGGGCUCUUCUAUUCUCAGGAAGAAACCAUCACCACCAAAGCACCAAAAUGAGUCUUCUCCAUUUUGUACCUGAAGGCCAAACCGUUUUGGAAGAUUACAUUCUAUCUGCAGGCUGCAAAGCAACCUCAUGUGGGAGUGUGCAGCAAGUCCAUGACCAAAACGCUGCUGUGGUGCUGAAAUUCAGCACAUCUGGCCAGCUGCCUCAUGCCUGGAUCAUUGCAGGAAUAGGAGAGAUUCUACUAACGUGGGUGCCAGUGGAAAGCAUUCCCCCAAACCUAACAGAAGGGGCUGGAAGGGCAGACUGAAGGUCAGUGCACGCUGGGUAACACGAUAUCUAGGGCUGUUCUCCAAUGCAGUACUUGGAAGCUUGGAAAGCUUCACGGAUACUAUGGGAUCAAGCUGGUAUAAAGCUGGCGUGAACUCCAGCCCCCAGCAGUGCUGAUGGAGUGCUGAUGAGCAGAGCCAACAGCACUGGCACUGUCGGCCACCUGGCACCUUCCCAUCCAACUGCUGCUUACACCACCACCGCAGUUACAGGGAGGUGGAAGCAUGUCUAUCAUAUGCUGUGGAAAAGCAGAAGUGGGGAGAGGGUCCCCCAAACUGGCUUAACAAAAGAAAUCCUCACCUGGGAAUGGAUGGAUGAAGAUCAGAGCCAGAUCAAUGACGUUUACAACAAUUUUAAUUGGCAUGCAACAAACAAAAUCCAGAGGCUGGGGAACUUAUCCCACAACUCAUGUGCUGCUAGUGCUUGGUGCUUUCUGUCAGUAAGUCCUGCUAUGACUCAUGAAAUUGGGCACUGUGGGCACAGCAACCAUUUUCCCCUACCCCUUCAGGAGGUGUCUUUAUCAUUUUACUUAGUGAUGCAUAAUAGAGGUCAGGAAGGCAGCAAUAUUUUUUAUCUGGCUGCAGUAAUUAGAUGAAAACUUAGUACUAGAAAUGGGCAAACAGAAUUAACCAGCUUAUUUAAUGGAAAACGAGUGACUUACAUAGCAGGGUAAAUAUAGUUCAGUGUGUAUUUGAAAGUUAAAUGAGAUGUGCAUUAGAACACGUUUUAGUUUUAAAAUAGUUCCAUGCUUAAAAUCACUUGUACAGUCACUGUGGUUAAAUGCAUUUAGCAGGAUGGGAAAAAUGGGCAGCUUUGGGGCUUUGGUGGUGGUGCUGUUUGAGUGAUGUCUGUCAGUGGGUUCACAGCCUGAAUGUUGCUGCAGGAGCAGGGCAGGGCAGGAGGAUGCUCAGGUUUUGGGGUUGAUACCACUCUUUGGCACUGCAAGGGUAAAUGUGCCACAAUGCUGGAACCACGAGACAAGCUGGGGGGUUGGGUGUUGUCUGGGGCCUCGUGAGCAGAUGCAUUAAUCUGAUUUCUUACCUACAAGUCCCUGCUUGUUUCUCUAAAAUAACCAUUUAAUUAUUAUGCAAGAAAUCAGCCAUUCAUAAGCAUCCUUAUGGAAUAAAAACAAAGGAUUUCACCCCCUCUCCCCCUCUCUUUACAGGAUUAGUUUAUUUGUUGGAUCAGAAUUAUCUUAAUCUGGUAGAUGUCCUUCAGCAAGUUAUAAACAAGAGCGACAUCUUUCCGCCAAUGGAUUUCAUUUAGCUGGCUCUGAUAAUUUACAAGAUGUUUGCAGUUCUGAGUCCCUUACAGUAAUGACUUGUCCAAAUAAAUUAACAUGAAAAAAUCCCUUGUUAACACUCAAAUAAUCAAAUUCUUUUGUCAACAACAUCCCCAAAUAACUUGCAUUGACUUUAGUCAAAGUUUGUUAGAAUGAGAGACUUACUGUGAAGCACAGCUACUCCACCAUGAACCCAAGACUGCUAAUUUCCAAGUUAAGUAACUGUUCUCAUUUUCAAAGACCUGUCACCAAGUUCUUUUUCAGCAAAAACAGGCCAGAAGGAAGGAGGAUGAAGCACAGGAGAUGCAUCAAAUUCAGGUUGGUAUCAGAGCAAUGUCUGCUCCAGAGAGCGGCCAGGCGCUGGCACAGCUGCCCAGGGGUGGGCAGUCCUUGUCCAUGGAGGUGUUCAGAGCUGCAGGGAUGUGGCACUGAGGGACGUGGGCUGUGGGACUGUGGGGUGGUGGGGUUGGGGUUUUCAGGGGUCUUUUCCAUCCUGAAUGGUUCUGUGAUUCUACGAUCCUAUGAAGAGGAGUGCAUCCCACUGAGCCCUGCAGCCUCCUGUCUUCGGGGACACGUGCAGUUGCAAAGCUCACAGAAAUGCUUACUGGCUAUAGGUGCUGGGAAUCCUGUGAAGUGCAGAGGUGCUGUGUAAGUGUGCUCCUCAGCCCAAGGCUGCAGCAGCAUGGAGCUGUGCAGGACCCGUCACCAGGCGGACAUUUCCAGGUGUUUUUUCACCCUUCCUUCCUCCAGAGCUACUGAGGCAGCUCAGUCCACCCAGCAAUGCCAGGUACUUCAUGCACACGAAAACAGAACAAACCAAUUUCAGUAAACUAUGUGAAGCUCCUGGAGGAUCUUUUUGUUAGGAGUUGAGCGGGCUGUAAAUAACAGAGGUAUUAACAGUAAUUCACACCCCUGGGACAAGCCAUAGAGGAUUACAGCCGUGUGGAACCAUUUGCCUUGAGAAAAAUGACAAAAUUUCCAAGGACUAGAUGGCUUCUGGAGAGAAGAUUUGAAGCUCAGACUGCACUUGUCUUGAGCUUAUCCGCUAUCAAUUCCAGUUCGUACAAAGACAUUUACUCCUAUUAUUAUUAUAUCCCUGCCCUUUCUCGCCCUUGAAGUAUUGGCAUUGUGGCUCUGAAGACAGAUUCAAUUAACAAACCGGAUAGAUGCUGACCUUUACGGGGUUGUUAUUCUAUCCUUGAUUUGCUUUAGGGGAGAAAUAUUUCUUUCUUGUAUAAAUAUGAAAUAACAAAUAAAUAACCAACAAUUGAUUUGUAGUUUCAAAAAAAAAGAGAGAGAGAGGGGGAAAGAGAGGAAAGAAAUGAACUAGUCAGGCACGGACACUGGCAUUAGCUGAAGGGCUUCGGCACCUUGUGCAGGGAUUACUCACUGAGCACACCGCCAUCCAUCACGAUUACAGAGCUGUUGGGGGAUUUCUAGAGCAGUUUUUUUCCAGAGAAUCGGGUAACUGAGGCAGCAUAGUGUUUGCACCUUUUUGUUACCACCAUGAUUGAUUUUCUGCAGUCCAAGAAGGAAAUUUUCUUUUUUGCUACUUUUUUACAUUACAGACCACUGUCCUGCAGCAUCACAUGGGAUUGCUGAGAUGGGAUGCAGGGACAGGGACAGAGUCAGCAACAGGGAUACGGAUAGAAAUAGGGAUAGAAGCAGAGAUAGGGAUAAGGAUAGAGAUAAGGAUAGGGGUAGGGAUAGUGACAGUGAUAGGGCUAUGGAUAGGGACAGGGACAGGAGUAGGGAUAGGGAUAGGGAUGGAAACACGGAUAUGACUAGGAUGUGGUGCUUUGGGGCAUCCCAAUUCUGAUCUCCCCUGGAUGAGGCUCUACUCUUCCCAGGGAAGGUGAGCUUGGUUUUAGGGUGCUCACUGAGCACUGAUGGUGAUGUUGGAAAUCCUCUUUUCUGUAGUGAUUGCCUUGUAUCUAUGCAUGGCCAGGUCCAAUGUCCUGCUGAAAGGGCUUCGUGCUCACUUGUUUACCUUGGACAAGGCCAAUAAACCCAUAGUUCGCUUGACGAUGAUUGAAUGGUGUUUGGUAUUGGCUCACUUUUUCCUGGUGAAGACUAAAAUGGAGGUGGGUGAUGGGAACACAGCCUUCAUGGUGGGGGAAGGAAGCACAUGUUUUCCUGCUUUAUGCUUCCAUCUAUAGCCACGAGCAAAUAAAAAUUUGUAUCUUACAUAAAAAUUACUUCCUGCACAACAAACACAUCAAGGCACAAACUUGCCUCAUUUAUAUUCACAUUCCAAAAAAUGAUAGUUUUAUACUUCAAAACAGCUUUCUUCCCCCCUCUCCUUCUCUCACCACAUGCACACACUUGGGACAAGAUCAAACAGCUCUUCAUUUUUCUCUAACAAUAAUGUAAUUAUUAUACAAUGUUAAUUGUAGAGAAAUCUGAGGACAACUCAGCAUGUAAAAAUCCUAAUUAAUAUUUUUAUAAUACUAAUUAUUUUAUAAUUAUAAUUACAUAUAAUUAUUAUCCUUUAAUAAUUCCAUGCUCUCAUGCUACAAGUAUUACACUUAACCUUUUCAAUACUGGUCCUGACUGUUGCUUUUUCUCAGACUAAUCUGCUAUUCCGUGGAUUGUGCCACUUACAGCAGUGGGACAUCCUUGUUGCUGGUUUGUACUAUUGCUGCUGAAGUCACUUGAAUUCUUGAGUUUGGGUUCAUUUCCAUUUUUGCUGGCCAUCAGGGUGCUGCCUGCCCUGCCUCACCCAUGAGGGGACAGCUGACACCUGCAGGCAGGUUAUCUUGAUGGAAACUAAGGUCAAAAGGGCACAGCAAACCAAGGCAAGGAAUUUGCAUGGGUAGCCCCAUGUAUUUUCUGUACCUGUUUCUGCAAUGGUAUUUGUUCAUUUAAGAUCAUCUACAUUCAGCAGGAUGCUGGACAAGAAGUGCUGACAUCCUUUGCCACCCCUUAGUGUUCUUACAGUAUGGUGCAUAGUGAGCAAGACUACCAUUCAUCAUCCUUCUUUGCCUUGAAUUCUUCCCAUUUCUGUCUUUCCUUCCCUGAUCAUUUUUCUAUCUAUCUGAUCCAGCAAGUAACAAAAUACCACGCCCAUUUACAUGGAGCCUGGCAGUUCCUCUACUCAGAGCCAUACGAACCCACUGCUCUGUUCUGGUUCUGCCCAGCCCUCCUGGUGCCUGCAUCAUCGCUUGCAAUUAACAGGCAACAUUCUUCUGACAGAUGAACACAGAAAAAAUUGUUUUCAAUUAUAAAUACUCAAAAUUCUACAAAAAAAAGAAAGAGAUCAAAUGUUUUCUUAGCUCCUUGACAUCUUCGAAUACAUGUUAGACAAGGGAAAAGAUCAGUGCUUCUGGUAACUCAUAAAAACCUUUCCUUUCUGGUGGCAGAAUUUGUAAAAUUUGAGUAUCUCCUCUAAUCUUAACCUUAGGUGAUCCACUAAACUCAGAGAAGUCUUCGCUGGAACAAUAGAAGGCGUUUGGUAUUCCAGGUGCUGGCUUUUGUGUACCACUACACUACUUGCUUACACAAAGGCACUCCUCUCCAAAGUGAGAUAAAUUGUUCUGUUGCUUCCAUGUGAAGCACGUGAACUUCUCUCCCACCUUCUGACUGACAUUGGAAAGGUAAUGGUCUGCUCUGAACAGCACUGUCUUGCCUGCUGGAUCCUUCUGCACCCAUUUAGGGCUGGGCUGGAGCAGACACUGGGGCCAACUGCAGUCCACUGAAUGCAACUGAGAUGGAUCCACCAAUGGAAGAGUUCCUGCAGCACCGAUGGACACCCAUGUUCACCACCACAAAAAGCCAUGAGACAGAGUCUUGAGCUUCAUUCUAAUAUCAUGCAUGCUGCAUUCAAUGAACAAAAAGGCAAACAGAAAGACUGAAUUUACGCCAGCGAGUCACAAUAAGCCGUGCAUUGGCAAAAUAUUUAAUCGUGCUGAAGUUGGAGGCCGGAUCCUCCCACGUGGCUUUAUUUUGGCAUUGCAAACUGCACAUCUUCUAAAGCUUCUCUAGGAGCACUGGCAAAACCUUACACUGAGGACCAGUUCUAAUUUGUGGAGGAUGUGGAAGAGCAGUGGGAAGAAAGAAAGCUGUUGCUGCUGUUUGGCAGCUUGAUGUUUUGGGUUUUUUUCUUCUUUGCUUUAGGCAAAUGAAAGGAAUAAGUUCACUUGUAAUUGCUUUCAUGUAAAGAAAAGUUAAUAGAAAUUUUAAUAACAGUAGCAGCUUAAGAGAGUUUGAGGCCACGACACACGCAAUGCAAUGGAGGCAGCUCUUGCAACAGGCUGCAGCUGCCCAUUGCUAUGGCUCUGCUUGUGGCACAGGGGGAGAGUUUUGGGAGAGUUCAGAAGGGUUCGUUCUGCCCUGGUUUUGUGCAGCCCUGUGUGCCCAUCGCUUACACAGACCACCACGUAGCAGCAGUGUGACUAUUAGUCACAAUACCAAUAUACAUAAAAAGGAACAGGCUCAGUAAUAUAUAUGUUGAACUAUUAGUGGCUGUUGUAUGUGCCCUUCUGAGCUUUUCCCCCUUGGGAUCCACAGCCUCAGCACUUCCUUCCCUUUCUCCUGGGCAGCAGCAGCAUUUCUGUCCUACUAGUAUCACAGAUAGCAUGGCUGUUUGCUUCUCCAUGGAUGGGGACUGCCCACACUUGGGCAGCUGUGCCAGUGCCUGGCUGCUCUCUGGAGCAGACACUGCCCUGAUACCCAACCUGACCCUCCCAGGCACAAGGUGAGGCCAGCACCUCCCAUGAAGAUGAAGGGGAGGAAGAGUGGGGUGCACCACCAUGCUCGCCCCAUUGGCAGAACCACCUGGGGGUCUUCAUGGACCAGCUUUGUGAAGGAUGCUUUGUGAAGGAUGCAGUUAUUGUGCAUUGUCCUUGUAGAAUCACCUCAGCAGUAACCUUGUACCACUGCGCAUUUUCCUGGCACACUGACAAUCCCAGUGAGCAGCUGCAGUUCCGUGGUGGCUACAUUAGGAAUGUGGCUUCUGCAGCCAUCACUGUGGCCAUCAGCAGCGGAUGUCUGCUGUGCAGAGGGACAUGGGUGCCAACAGCAAGCACCUGGGCAUGGAAAGCUGGUUUCUGUUACUGAAGGUGAACACCUUUAGUUUGUAAAUGCAAGAAAACUGGAGAAGUUUAUGAAAGAAGAUAAAGGAUGGGUACAGGAGACAAAAGACUCAUCGCCUUGCAGGAAAGAGGUGAAUACAGAAGAAGAGGAGAUGGAUUGAAGCUCGUUUUGAAGGCAGAAGGAGCCAUCCCCAGGUCAGCUUCCCAUACUUCCAAUGACAUUUAUGGAAGUGAACAGAGAUUUCACUUUUGACCAUCAGCCUGAAUGUGUUCUCCCAGCUGGAAGGGCUUUUUUCACCUUGAUGAUCCUUGAGGUCCCUUCCAACCCAAGCCAGUCCAUGAUUCUAUGAUUCACUGACUGCAUCACAUCCCAUAAGGUAUCUCAAUGCAGAGCUGAAGCAACUUCCCUUCAUCUUGAUAUUUUGCUUCAGUAGCCCAAAUCACUCCUGGGUCACCAGACUGGAUGGCUCUCUGCAAACAUGGAUACAACAGAACAAGGGCACAUGCUGAGCUAGCUCCUGCACCUGAGAUGCAGUGCCUAUGGGCUCUCUCCUGGAUUAAGAAUGAUUUGAAAGUUACACUGGGCCCAAAGGAGCAGCUCCUUCCACCCAGCGGCCACUCUCCAUCAGACAGCACCAGGAACCAGUCUGUGUCUGGCUGCUGACUCCAGCAGGACUGACGCUGGGCUCAGGAGCAGUCUCCUGCUCGUUCUGCAAGGAGCUCAUUUUACCAUUGCGCCAGUGAAAUGAGUUCCUUGGUCACUCUCAGUGUGUGUCCUGAAGAUGCUACAAGCAACAUGGACCUCCCUGCUAAGAAUCCAAAUUAUGGGCACCAAUAGUCAGGGCGCAGCAGAAGAUAUUCACAAGGAUGCCAGGACAUAUUCUUCUGAUUUAAGUGGAGAAACAUUGGCAGUGAAUGUCACUGGAACAAGAUCCUGAAGACUGUGGAGACUUCUAGAAAAGAGGUUGUGAGCAUCGCCAUGAUGGCUGUGCAGUUGGCUGCUCCAAGGGCCUGAUUUGCUGGAAUAUCUAAAAGCACACAAGCAUAAAGGAAAUCCAACACAUCGAUGGAUAUUAACCUGCUGGAUGUUACCUAAUGAGCCUGUAUGUUGUACUGUCAUUCAUUCACUGUGACAAAAGGAUGACAUGGAAAUGCUGACAUAUAUCUCUGUUGUUUAAUGCAGACACAGCGUAACUCAUUAUUUUAUGCAGCAAACCGAAGUCUCUAAUGCCUACGAAACUGAAAGGAUGCUAUAGAAACUGCUUUACAGAAACAGAACAAAAUCUACCUUUCCUGCGUGCAUAUGAAAAUGUGGAUGACUUCGUGAGGAGCUCAAAUUGUCACUCAGCCUCAUAGAGUAGUCUCCAUGGCUGCUAACAGAAGUCCCACCAUGUCUGUGUGAGCUGAAAGAACCACGUAUUUCUCUAACUGCGAUCCCAAAUGCAGCUGCUAAAUUCUCAAUACUUCUCUAACAGUUUUCAGAUUGUUCUCCCCGUUCAUUUACAUCAGUCUGAAUGGAAAUAGAGAGGAAAACAAGUGCUAACCUCAUAGAGCAGUUGUGGAUGGGUGGGUAGCAGCUCAAGGGCAGCAUUUGCUUUAGGUCCUCCUCAUGGAAUUAGGGUCAUUAUUCUGAUUUACUAAGAAACAUAUGUGCAAGUAUACACCAAAACUGCAGAAAAUAGAAUUUUAGAAGCUUAUUCAGCAGUGGAUUUCAGGAUACAGAUGUUGGAUAUAAUAUACUCGCACUAAAUUGGAUUCUGGGUGAAUAAAAGAGCUGAUCUUAAAUUCAGCUUGGAGCCCUGCUCAGCACUCAGUUUGAAAUACACAGCCUUUUUGUUUCGCUUUUGCAACUUAUUCAAUAAAUAUUUUGGCAUGCCUGUCUGUUACGCUGCCUUAAUCUUCUCUUCAACCGAGCAGAAAUUAGCAUUUGUAAUUUAUUCACUAAGGGAAACUAAAGAGGCUCUGCACCAGGGUGAAAUGUAAUGCCCAACAGAUAACCAGAGUGCUGAGUCAGCACAAUGUGCAUUUGACAGAUUUGCUCCUUGUCUGCACCUCAUUUAAUGGAAAAUAUGGCAAAGAGGGGGAAGCUUUUUUCUGUGUCUCACUGGAGUGAUGCAGGGCUGUGGUGGCUCGCUGUGCCCUCAUCCCCUCCUCCUGUCCCAUAACACAAAUGGCCGUGCCAUUCAACCCAAGCCCUUUGUUCAUUGCAAGAGAAUCACAAGAUGCCCAUUCUUUAUUGUAAAGAGCAGUUAGAUUUUCAGUUAUCUUACUGAGAAACAAAGUCUCUAAUCAGCUUCAUUUCUUUUUAACCCUGAAUCCAACCCCCUGCAGGUUUAAAUAAAUUAACUUUAAAAAAAACAACAACCCAAAUACCCACUCACCAGCUUUCAAUGACUAAACAGCAGGGUCACACUUGGGCUGACUUGUAUAUCUCGUUAUUGGAAUUGAAGGGGGAAAGGCCUCCUGAGACCCCCACCCCACCAUGCCCACAUCCCUCAGUGCCACAUCCCUGCAGCUCUGAACACCUCCAUGGACAAGGACUGCCCACCCCUGGGCAGCUGUGCCAGCGCCUGGCCGCUCUCUGGAGCAGACGUUGCUCUGGUACCAACCUGAGCCUCCCUGGUGCAAUGUGAGGCCAGCACCUCUCACCUUCUUGCCAGGGCAGAGGCUGACCACCACAUCACUCCAUGCUUUUUUGAGGGAGUUGGAGAGACCACAUCCUGCAGUCAGUAAGGAGCAGUUUCGAGCAGUUUCAGCCAUGCCCUUCACCCCUCUCUUUAUGUAAGAGUUUUUGGCACUGGGUACUGUUUUGGUUUGUUUCUUCUUUUGAAUCUCCAUGAAUCAUUUUGGGCAUUGCUAUGAUGCAGGCCAAGAUAACAGACGUAGUAUGAUUAUUAGGGCUGUGCAGAGAAGCAGUCACACUGAGCGUGGUUUAUGAGUGGUAACGUCAUUGAUUUUUGCCUUUUCAAUGAGCUAGCCAGCAUUCCUCCUAGAGAAUUAAUAAUCAGAAGCAUCCCUCUGUAUUGGCACCUGGACAUGCCUGACUUCUCCUGCAGCAGCAUUUGAUCGAUGUAGCGAUACGCCGUAUGAGUUGGUGAGCAAUGGGUCUCAUUCCGCUGUACCUGGAGCAGGAAGCAUUCCCACCACAAAAGCAGAGAUCAGAGUACUUCAAUGCCCACUUACCUGCUUGCUGUCCCCCCUCCUGUUCCACCCGCACACACUCAUGUUUGCAGCACAGUCACAUAGCAGCCAAUGCUUGCUGAAAAACAAAGUAAGGAAAAGGACUCCAAAAUGUGCAACCAUUACUCUGCAUAAGAAAAUUAAGGAAAGAAAAACUACCGUAGGUUGACGUUGUGCUGGGGGAGGGGGGCAGACAAGUACUUACUCUUUCCAGCGUGAAUUGCUUCAUUUUUUCUUCCUUUUCAGUUCAUUAUAGCCAUAACUUUAUUUAAAUGUAGCUUUUCUUUCCACUGUGGCUGUGGUAAUUUCUUAGAGAACAUAUUUUAAUGGCCUGGCUAUACGCUCAGGAUUUCUGUUUGCUUCUGUAAUUGCUUCUUAAUUAUUUUCCAAUUGCUGAAACAACAGUUUCCACAGUUUAUUAAAAAGCGUUUUUGAAAGCUUUACCC